AGAGUACUCCCUCUGUUCAGAAUUACUUGUCGCAGAAAUGAAUGUAUCUAGACGUAUUUUAGUUCUAGAUACAUCCAUUUACAAGAUAAGUAAUUCUGAACGGAGGGAGUAGAUA
rfam:Triticum aestivum genome assembly, contig: Triticum_aestivum_CS42_TGACv1_scaffold_096809_2AL